CUUGGAUCAUCAUUAGAAUAAUAAAAGUAAGACUCUCAUAUUCAUUGAUUUAUCUAGACCUGAAUGUUUAUUCAGCACAGACACAGUCAUGUCACACAAGUUGAGGAAUAUAUUUCUCUUCGCACUAUUCAUUCUUGAGUGCAGAUCAGAGGACACAGUUGAUCAGCCAGACAAACAUGUGACUGAAGCUGAAGGAAGAUCAGUGACAUUACAGUGUAAAUAUAAAACAGAUUCAGUUCAAGAAAAUUUAUUUUGGUACAUCCAGAGAGCAAAUGACUUUCCUAAAUACAUCCUGAAGAGAAGCAAAUAUGGAGGAGAAAAUGGCACUGAGUUCCAGGAGAGAUUUCACUCUGAACUUUCAUCAAAUUCAGUUCCUCUGAUGAUCAAGGAUCUGCGUGUGUCUGACUCUGCUGUGUAUUACUGUGCUCUGCAGCCCACAGUCACAGGAAACACAUCAGAUCUAUACAAAAACCUGUUACACAGAGACACAGGCGAACACAGAAAGAAACUGUAACUGACAAUUACAGUAUCA